CUUGCUUCUCUUGAGAGCGGCGGACGGGUGAGUAAUGCCUAGGAAUCUGCCUGGUAGUGGGGGAUAACGUCCGGAAACGGACGCUAAUACCGCAUACGUCCUACGGGAGAAAGCAGGGGACCUUCGGGCCUUGCGCUAUCAGAUGAGCCUAGGUCGGAUUAGCUAGUUGGUGGGGUAAUGGCUCACCAAGGCGACGAUCCGUAACUGGUCUGAGAGGAUGAUCAGUCACACUGGAACUGAGACACGGUCCAGACUCCUACGGGAGGCAGCAGUGGGGAAUAUUGGACAAUGGGCGAAAGCCUGAUCCAGCCAUGCCGCGUGUGUGAAGAAGGUCUUCGGAUUGUAAAGCACUUUAAGUUGGGAGGAAGGGCAGUAAAUUAAUACUUUGCUGUUUUGACGUUACCGACAGAAUAAGCACCGGCUAACUCUGUGCCAGCAGCCGCGGUAAUACAGAGGGUGCAAGCGUUAAUCGGAAUUACUGGGCGUAAAGCGCGCGUAGGUGGUUCGUUAAGUUGGAUGUGAAAUCCCCGGGCUCAACCUGGGAACUGCAUUCAAAACUGACGAGCUAGAGUAUGGUAGAGGGUGGUGGAAUUUCCUGUGUAGCGGUGAAAUGCGUAGAUAUAGGAAGGAACACCAGUGGCGAAGGCGACCACCUGGACUGAUACUGACACUGAGGUGCGAAAGCGUGGGGAGCAAACA
rnacentral:rRNA from 1 species